UACAGAGGUCCCAAGCGUUGUUCGGAUUCAUUGGGCGUAAAGGGUGCGUAGGUGGCGCCGUAAGUGGGGUGUGAAAUUUCGGAGCUUAACUCCGAAACUGCAUUCCAUACUGCGGUGCUUGAGGACUGGAGAGGAGAGUGGAAUUUACGGUGUAGCAGUGAAAUGCGUAGAGAUCGUAAGGAAGACCAGUGGCGAAGGCGGGUCUCUGGACAGUUACUGACACUGAGGCACGAAGGCCAGGGGAGCAAACGGG
rnacentral:rRNA from 1 species